CAUUGAAACCGGCGAAGAAAUUUACAAUAGCAACUCUGGCUUUUUGCCAAUAAAUCUGCAUCACGGACCUUUCCUGGUGAGACCCUUUUCCCUCUCCCCACCCCCUUUACAUUUUUCCCUACUAGCUAAGACAGAGAAGAAAAAAAAAAGUCUUUUUUUUUUUUUUUUUGAAGCCCAAGUCCCUUACUAUUUUUGGCAGUUUGCUUUUGAAAUCAGCAACCCUACUGAUAAAAUGAUCCAAUCAGUCCUUCCCAGUUGUCAAGACAACAGUUCAUAAUUGUACCAGCUCUUUCCAUUGCAGCUAGACAUUUCAUAAAUAGAUAAUUCUCUAAUUGAUCCAGCCAAUCCUACUUUGCAUACCCUGCCAAACUAGCACAGACUCUUUAGUGCAGUCCUGAUUUCUGUAUUAAUGAAUUGAGAAGAUGACAUCAGGCUCUUAGAUGGAAAUGCAGCUUAAAUGUGAGUGAGGACUUGUUUGUCUAGGAGGAUGAGUCUACUCUUAAUGGGCUUGUGUUAAGUGCAGUGGAAGAUCUCUGCUGGACUGAUAUGGGGACAUGGCAGCCGACAUUGAAACUUGGACCCUUGUUGCACCAAGCAAUGAUCCUUGAUAUCCCAGCUGAUACAUGUGCACAUGCUGACUUCCUCCAGGACACCACAACCCAUAGUGAUAAUUGCAGUGCUGAAGCUACCCGCUGUGUUAAAGGUCAGCAGAAGGGCCUCAGCAGUGAAGUGGCACUUGCCUAUCAAAAUGCAAAAUACCGGGGUGAAACUCAGCUAUUAUAUGUUACAAAACUUGAGACAUUCAAAGUCAAGUAUAUCAUUCUCAUGUUCCAAUACCCAGAGAAGAAUGUCACAGCAUGACUCCAUCCUCGUGAUGGAGACUGAAAGAAGAAUGAAAAAUAAUGCAAAGUUAUCUCCUUUUUGUUAAAUCUAUUGUAAUCUUGUGUUCUUCCUCUGUUACUGCACUGAAAUAAAGACAUUUUAAUCCCAGGGUACAAAUGAGAAAAGCCCUGAUCUAAUAAUUGUAAAACCUCCCGAUCUGAUAUUUUAGAACUCAGAGUACUUGUCACUUAUGAAUAUUCAUCCAGACCACUAAAAGAAUUAUAUUCUGUCUGCAGUUAAGGCAGGAAAAGAACAUUGUAAAUUCUAAAGAGACAGAAGUAUUUUAUGGAACACUUGUCAAAUAUUAAGGGUAUCCACAACAAAAUUCUUGCAGGAAAAUUGUUCAGGAGAAGUGUGUGGGAUGGUGAUCAUUAUGGAACAGAUCUUUUAGAGGAAAAAAACCAUAAUAUACAGGAAUUCACUUCCAGUAUUAGAAAUAUUGGAAUUCUUCAAGAUAACCUGUUAAUGUGCAUGUUCAUGAGAGGGUAUUCAUGCUGCUCAGCUGAGAUUUUGAAUGCAAAAGGUUGAUACAAACUUUGCAAAAUAAACUAGAAAACCGAAUCAAACACUUUUUUUUUUUUUAAUGGAAGACAAGAUUUUAACUUAAGUUAAAUAUUAACUUAACUUAAAUAUUUUAACAAUAUUUUAAGGAGGAAUUUGGCCCCUGAAGGCCUGGCCCUUUUAACAUUAAGGUUAGUUUAAAAAUGUGCAAUAUUUUACACUUGUUUAUACCUCUUCCUUUGCGAUUAAGUAAACUUCAUAGUAAAUUUUUUCAUAGUAAAUUAAUAAAUGUUUAAUAAGAUUCUUUUCCAGUGCCUUCUGACAAGUCAGUGCUUAUAUAUAAAAAGGCCUAAUUUCACACUGGCAAGAAAUGGACUUGUUCCAGUGACAGAUGUACUAACCCAAGCAGAUACUCAGCAAGUUGGUUUGGAGGACUGAUUUUUAUCUGAAGUGGGAGACUUCUUGUGUAUACAAUAUUCCCUGAAGAAAUGAAAGUGGCCUUUUAUGAAUUCUUUCAUUGAUAAAUAUCUCAAAAAUAAAGGUAAGGAAAUGCUGAUAACCUCUAAAACCAGAGGCUGAUGGUAGUUUACCUGCUACCAUGGUGGUGCUGAAAGGAAGGGAAUGCUCUCUCUCCAUCAUGUCUCUUCCUUUCAUUCCUUUGAAGCCUCCUCCUGGCCAGACAGUUGUCCCCACCUUCCAUGAUUGUCCCUCUGAAUGUACAUUGGUGGGGUAUUUCCCACCAAUUGUGUUCAGUCCCUGCUGCUUUUUAUACUCAUAGAUCAUUGUAUUUCAGUAUGUUUUGCAUCUUUUGCUUAUCCACAGAAGAGCUUGAAUUUAAGGAAUUUAAAUUCCAUUCUUCAUCUGAAGAUCUGAAGGAAUGUCUCUAAUUAUUUGCCCUGAUUUCUCCUAAAAGUAUCCAUGCUGAGUUUGCUUUUAUGUUUGUGUAUGUCAGACCCUGUCUCCAGAAUUACAGUUUCCCUGGGACAUCAGUCCUGAAGAUAUUCAAAGUGACCAAAAUUUUCUUUUUGUGAGUCUAUGAAUGCUUUAAUCUAUGCCACAAGUGUGUCUUCAUGACUCAGGUGCUGAAAAUCUUAUCCUGUCUUGAGUUAAACACAUGAAAACUCAUUAAAACCAAUGCAGAUGCACAGGGAGAAGUGAAUAAAGAGUAGCUAAAAAAUGCUGGGCACUCAUCUGUAAGCUUAUUAGUCUAUUGAUAGAGUCAUCCAGUGUUCCAAAGCAUGCCAACACUUCCUAUAAUAUGUUGUGAUUGUGCUGCGCUGUCAGCAAAGGUGGGUCGUGUGUUUGAAAAUGACAUUUGCUUUACCAUUUUACCUAAAUUGUGGAUAAUGUUUUAAUAAAUGGUAUUUUUUUAAAGAAAUAAAUUAUUUGAUAAAAUUAUUACAUAAAAUGAAUUCCAUCAAAUUGUCACAGUUGUUAUGUGCUUAAAAAGCUUCUGCUCCUCUAUUAUUAAGUGGUAAAAGAUUAUAAUUUGAAAAAAAUGAAUACUAAAAUGACUGAUUUAAAAAAAUAUGUUUCAAUAAAAUUCACCAUAAAAAUUCAAAGCAAAAUGUAAAAAAAGGACUUACUUUAUAAUUUUAAAUCCACACAUUUAAAAAUAUUUCAGUGAACAAAUUAUCAUUGCAAUAGACGGUACAUCACAUGUACUACAUACCCCUCUGUUUCAACACGCUUUCAUUGACUUAUAUGGUAUUUCAUGAGUCCAUAGUGACACCAUACUUAAUUAUUUACUAUAAUAGAUACAGCUUUUGCUUUGUAAACAUUAAUAUAAUGUAUUCUAUAAGUUGAAAGGAAGUUGUGGUAAUAGAAGGUAAGAUCAAGUACCAUUCAAACUAUCUUAGUCAAGGACAUUUUCUUUGGACAUAUAUAUAUAUUUCCAUCCCUGAAAGAGCUUUUUUUGCAGUCAUAAUUGCAUAACAGUGCUUUUCUAACAUGACUGCUAUAUAUAGUGUAGCUGACUUUUCCUUGACAUAAAUUUAACCUUAAUGACCACUCCUUUUUUAACUCAGACCAACAAGAGAGUGAAAACUGCAGGAAACUAUAUUUUUCUUUCUCAGGUUAAAAUAAAAUAAAUGAAUAAUCAGCUAGUGGUCAAACAUUCAAAAGAGAAUGGUAGGAAGACUGGAGAAAAAAAUUCUUUGAAGAUUAAGGACCUGAACUACUGAAAGAAAGAAAGAAAGAAAGAAAGAAAGAAAGAAAGAAAGAAAGAAAGAAAGAAAGAAAGAAAGAAAGAAUAAAAGAAAGAAAGAAAAAAAGAAAGAAAGAAAGAAAGAAAAAGAAAGUAAAAUAUUGCUUAAUUAUUAAAUCAGCAACAUUGUCAAUUGAAUAAAAAAGAGAAAUUAACUAAAUAAGUAAACUACAAAAAAUAAGAAAAAAAGAACAGCCUUGCAAUGACCCAAAGAAUAUGAAGAUUGUAACAAUUACUUGAACACUGAAUAAAUUAAAAGAAAGCAAGAGUAAAGCUAUACAAAGUUAGACCCUGAAUAUUUAGAUUUUUUUCCUGGUAUGGUAAGAUUUCUACUAUUAAACAAACAAUUAACCCAAAAAUAAACCAAAGAAGAAGCCAGAUAUUAUUCUGACCUCGGGAUAUCAACAUCCCUGUGGCAGGUGUCUGUCAUUCCAUCCAGAGCAGAAUUUGCAGGAUCCCUUUGCGCACUGGCAUUUGUUCAUGCAAGAGAGCACAUGAAGUCUUCAGUGUGCUCAUUCCAUUGACAGCUUGAAUAAGAAGGACUCUGCUACAAAACAAGUCCUCAGGAGUAACCAGUUAGGGGAGAGAGUUAUUCCAACCUGGGCUGCUGUGGCACCACUACGAUACUAUCUCCAGCAUCACAGAAACUUUGCAACACUUCUUUCUUCAUCCUGUGGGUAAGCUGAUUACACCAGACCCCAGUCAAAAGCAACAUUUAACUCAUAGUGCAUAUUUUUGUGCUUUAACAGAAGCCAAGUAAGAGAUAAAUUUCAAAAUGCAUUUCAAGCUAAAACUGCAAUGGGAUCUUAACAGUGAAGUCUUAAGGGUAUUGAGUCUAUAGAUAAUAAAUCAAAAUGAAGAAUAACAUGGCAGUCCGUUCCAAAAGGAGUUGAUCUUCAGUUCUAUGAAGCACAGUAGAUUUUAAUUUUCUAACAAAAUAGGCAGCCUGACAUCUCAAUUUUAUCAUGGAACUUACAAGUAGGUCAGGUACCACCACUAGAAACCAGGCUUGAGCCCAGGAGACAAAGAGACAUGUCAAAGUGUACAGCCCAGCUCCUAGGGAGAGAAAAAAAGCACAACAAUGUAAUUGUGAGUGUUGCAACUUUUAGUGCAUCCUGGCACAUGGGAACUUUUUGCUGAUGAAACUGGUUAUCAUUUCCAUCACAACUUAUUAACAAUCUUGUUCAGGUGACAUCACAGAAAACUGAGUGACAAUGCAUGAAAGUGCCACUGCUCUUUUGAUACGGAAAUUAUCUGUUGCCUUCCAAGGAUAAAAUCAGAUUGACUGGGGAGGAGGGGCAACUGAGCGUUUAAUUACAGUGUAAAAUAAAAUAAUACUCCAGCACAGGUAAUAAGAUAUUUUGUGUCCCUAGAGUGUUAUCUGAGCUGUUUCAAUGAUUUUUUUUUUCCUCUCUUAUUUCUCUAAGUGAAAAAAUAGCAUUUUAGAAUUUCCAGGCCACAGCUGAACUGUAAAGAUCUAGAAAAAACCUCAGGCAAUCCCUCCCUCUCAGAUUUGUCUGAUAUUUAUUGAAGAAAUAAAAAAAAAGUAUUUAGUUUGCCUGAUUCUUCUCUUUUAGAAAGAAACAAAAACAAAAAUUCAAAAUGAAAUCUUAAAAGCAUAUGUUCUUUCACAAGUAAAAUUUGUUUAAGUUUGAGUUUUCCUUUUGUUUCCUCCCCAAGAACUACUUAACAAAUUUCUCUCAAAUUCAUAAAUCCUGAAGUAUCUUUUUAAAGGUAAUUACUACUUCUCUGCAUGUAUUAUCAGUAGUUAUUGAUCAUAAAAAUACCAGAUCUUUACAUGCAGACUAGGUGCUCAUCUAGUUUCAUUUUCGUUUUUUAGCAUGCACUUCUCCUCUACCUUUUAAUGAUAUUGGAUUUCUGAUUCCAGUCAGAUCCUAAUGUUGAUUAUAUACUGUUAAUAUGAUUCUUUUGGGGUUUUUCGGGGGGUUUUUUGGUUUUUUUUUUUUUUUGGUAAGAUGGUCUUGAGGUAAUUUCUGGAUUAUUUCUACUAAGUAUAUAUCUAGAUUGCUUUAAAAGAGUACACCAAGUUCCCCAAAUAGCUAUUAUCUGCACAGAAAAAAAUCUGACACCUUAGAGUAGCCUAAAGGCUGAAUAUGAAGUUCUGACAUUAAAAAAAGGUAUAUCUUUGUGGCUAAGGACAGUACUUCACUGUAAAGGAGUUCUUGCUUGUUAAUACAAACACAGGGCUGGUUUUAAGGCAGUAUUUAUUUAUGACAUUUUUUAUAUCAAGGCUCUCUAAACUUCGCCUGUAAUAUACUCUACCAUGACUUCACAUAAAACUGUCUACCAGAAAGGAUUGACAUUAGUUAUGAGAGUGAGUAGCAGCAGCUCUUUAGACAUAUAACUACUGUGCCAUUUUGAUGUAAUUCAGUUUAAAUUUCAAACAUUUCUAUUUAACAUAAUCAAGUGGUAUGAAAUCUUCUUUUAAAAUGGCAAGUAUACAGUACCAGCUCAAUUGGCACUUAGCAACGGUCCUUUUGCAAUAUGCACAAUAGCUUUCAGCAGGGAGUUUUUUAAGGACCAUCCUUUGAGAGCACAAACUCACACAUGUACAAUCAGGACACAUCAAGGUUCUAUCUCCAACUCCCCUUGAGAUGUUAUUUAGCUAAUGCACAAAUGUUACAGCUAAGCUGUUAGCCUGAAAAAUAGAACAAGCAGUUGUGUGCAGGUACAACCAUUUCUUUCUUCAUUCCAGGAUAUCUUCAUAUUAUAAUUUCACAUAAAGUAACAUCUAGAAAAGCGUAGUACGUGAUUCUUACUCAAUAGGUGGAUUUCCACUUUUAAAUGCACUGCAGACAUCAAAUGCCCCUUCUUGAAUCCUAUAUUAUGUAGUGGCAAAGCACAUUUGAGUGCGUAUACUGCAGUCAUCACUGGCUAUCCUCUGGUUAGAGCAUUCUGGAAAGACAUAGCUCUGUCACAGGCUGCUAUCACCAGUAAAUACUGCUCUGUGUGUAGCUGUUCUGUAUCCAAUGAAAAGAAAAGAUCUGGCCCUGCAGCUAGCUUUCCUCAAGAGAGUGAAAUCCUGGCAAACAAGACCCUUGUUUCAACAAGAAGCCUCCCAUAUUUAUUGGUUGUCUUCCAAAAACUGUGCUGAACCAUAUAAUAAAUUUCAUUAAGCCCAGGAGCAGAGGGAGUUUCUAGCAUGCUGCUAAAAUCAUGGCAUAAUGCUCUGAACCAGAUGAUUGCAUUAUAAUCUCAUUCCAGUUGGGAUCCUAGUUUGCUAAUAGAAGGCUUUUACAUUCAAGAUAGGAAACUCCAACACUGAAGUCUGCAAUGCAGUUACUAAAUACAUUGCUUAGAUAUUUUGUGCAUGGAAAGAGAUGAUGACAUUAAUAUUACAGCAGUAAUGCUGUCUUGAGUGCAAGACUUCAGAAUUGGCUGGAAUUCUGUUCAUAUUGAAACCUGCAUCAACAACAUGGCAAUGAGGUGAAAGCACAGAAGGCUAUGUUUGCCUGAUAACAAGCUUUUUAUUCCCAAACUAUUAAGAAAUAUGAUUUAUUUAUAAAAUUAUAAAUUUAUUUAUAAAAUUAUUUAUAUCAUAUGCAUCUAAAAAUAAAAUACAGUUACAGAAAGAAAGCAAAAAUGGGCAAAUAUAUUUUAGAUAAUAUGAACCUGUAUGAGGGGAGGACAUUGUCAUACACAUGGGAAAAUGAAUUAGCAGUGUAACGGACUUAGAAAGAUGCUAUUUGUUAGUGUCUGACCAUGAAAUGGAAAAGCCUUAAAAUUAAUGAAAGCAGGAAUAAUUUUUUUGUUUUAAAUUAUGAUCAUGAAAAAAUUUAGAUAUGAAUUAAUGAAAAGAACUUGUGAAAUCAUGUUGUAUUUUGACUGUUUGAUCAGAGCAGAAAAAUACUCUUUUUUCCAGUCAAGACAUUCACUUAGAUGUGUUCUAAUUGCAGUGGUUUGCUUUAUUCAAUUUGAAGCAACACUCCAAAUUUAAAUACAGUUUUGUUUAGAAAAGAGAUCCUAAAAAAUUCUCUAAACAAAACUGAAUAUUUUGGGGCUCAGAUUUUUUUUAAACCUGCAGAAGCCACUGAAACUUCCAUUGUUUCAGUUUUGUAUCAAAGUAAUACAUAUUGUCUAAAUUUUUCACUUCAGAUAGUGAAUUAAAGGAUCAGUGAUGUGCAUUUCUCCAACUAUAAGUGCUAUUAUAAGCUUCAGUUGGAUUAGAAUCCUCCUCCUAAUCCAGUCUAUUAAAAAUGCUUAUGUUCUAAAUCUCUGAAUCUGCAUGAUUUGCCUGCUGAUGAACAAAGAGGCUUUUCUUCUUUUUUUUUUUUUUUUUUUUUUUUUUUUUUUUUUUUUACUUCAAAUGAAACUAUCAGAUACUCCAAGGAUUGGUGACAGUCUAGAAUAUUUUGGGUUGGCCCAUUUUGACUAUUCAGACAAAGGGUCAGCUGUUAUUAGAGACAAUUUUUUGCAUUGACAUCUUGAGGCCCACAGGAAAAUUUGAUCUUCUUAUUUCCCAGUUCUGGUCUGAAGUAUAGUGCUGGACCAUGAAGUUAACAUAUUAGGUCUCCAGAGUCAGAUAAUUUAUAAAGGUUCUUUAAAAGAUGGAUGAUAAGAGUGCACAGUUCUCUGUGAGAAGUUUUGAUGGUUGGUGGUGGCACACUGGCCACGCCACUUUGGGGAUGGUUGUCUCUCCCCACAGGUGAUGUGUGUAAGGCACAGCAAAGAGCAAGAUUAGCAUGCUGUGCUGCAAGAGCAGAAAGCUGUUUUUAAAAUUGCCAUAAGUGUUUUCUCUUGGCCACUCUGAUUGCCUAGGUAAAGUGUAACUAACUGGUAAAGUUUGCUGGAGAAUUUACUUGUCUCAAUGUCCAAUAUUUAAUUUUCAUUGUUUGUCUAUGGGGUGGUGGUUUAUCUUGCUUAAAAAUCCUAAGUGCUUUAUUCUACAAAAACUGGUGACAAGUUGCAGACUGUAUCUUUUUUUUUUUUGUUUAACAGAAUUAUUUUAUAAUUGCAUCUGGUAAAGAAAAUAUUAUAUAACUAGCUCCAAACAAUUUUUUUGGCCAUUGUACAGAAAAGGACUUACUCAUCUUAAACUAUAAAAAAAAUCAUCUGGGCAGACAAACUUGCCUGCCAAGUUUUAGGUGGCUAGGAUCCAGAGUGGCUGAGACAUUAAAUGUGAAAUCUAAGUUCCUACACUUGAAAUGCCAAACUACAACAUCAGGCCCCUGAUGCUAUAACUUUUAAGAGAACUAAGUGGUGUAAAACUGUGCAUAAUUAUUUCACUCAUGAACAAAAAACCUAUUACUCAUAAGCAGAGUUUUAGGUAAGUUAUAAGGAUAUUUCUUGAGAAACAUAUGCCAAUCAUUCGACCAAACAAGGCUGUGCUUUGCAAUUAUAUGUUACAAUUUUUUGGAUUUGCUGGCUAGUGCAAAUCAACAGAUUUUGAAAGUCUAUUGGUUAUGGCCUCAAGAGGUACUUCAUAACCUUUUAUUUUUUUACAUUAAAUCCAUUAGGGUAUCACAGGCUAAAUAAAAAUUAUCUUCGACCAUCAUUUUUUUCUUUAUUUCUCUCUUUAUCUUGCUUAUAUGUAGUACAGUACCUGGCAGAGUACCAAGGGUUAAAACUCAGCUUUCUCUGAUGUUGGUGUACUAGCAGCUUAAAUAGCAGUUUUCCUGCCAAUUUAAACUUUUACUUUUUAAUGAAGAAUUUAAACCAGAAAAGUUAAGCAUUCCUUGGGCUUGCUCUUUAGUAGGAAGUAAGUUUGAAUUGGCACUGUGAUUACUAAAGCUCUUCUUUUAAAUCUUAUUGAACCAAAACUAAAAAUUCUGUUUAAAUCCUUGUAGUCAUCUAAAAACAUAAAAUACCAAAAGACCAAUAAACAAAAUAAAAAAAAAUCUAAACAAAUAUAUUUUACAACUUGGAUUUUAGAGAAACAAGCUGCUCUUUCAUUUCUUAUUUAUUAAUUUUAAAUAAAAUCAUUCAGCCCUACCUCAUAAGAGAUAUUUGUCCUUUGUGGGUGAUCUUAAAUUUCUCUCAAAAUAUACAGCUACAUAAAAUAUACACAGAACAUUUUAUUCCUAUACCUGCUCCAUCAUAGGAAGAUUAUUUCCAGCCCCUGAAAUAACUUUGCAAACUUCUGGGGUUUCUGUAUAUUUUAUAUUGAUGGGGCCCAGAAGAAGCUGUGCUUGGUUCUAAUACAUCUCCAUGAGCUGACUUUGUUUACUGCUCUCAGAAGUGGAAGAGAAGGCACAAGAAACUUUGUAAAGCUCUGGAGCAACACGUGGAGAAGCUUGCCUUCAUUCUUCUCUCCUUCCAUACAAACACUAAGUUUUCUGUGCAUGGGUUUGGACCAAAUGACUGAAACAGUCUGUGGCUCAAGACUAUCAUUAGAAGUUUGGAUCUUUCAGGUGCUUAAGUGGCUGUCAUCUAUGUGACUAAUUCUGAGUCUGUUACGGAAGUUGUAGUGUUAUCUGCCCAUGGAUCUGUUAUGGUGUUGCCUACUGCAAAUGAGCUGUCCUAGCUAGUAAACACCUUGGUCCAGCUAAUCCAGGAGCAGAUGGCUGAGGCUGUGGUUAUCUUGAGGCACUGGGCUUUAUCAUGUUGCAGACAACAGCCGGAGGCCAGGUGCCUCAAACAGGAAAUAGAUUUAGAUACUCCAGAACCUUGAGGAUUUGUUCUAUUCAAGCUACUCAAGGAUCAUACUUAAACACAUGCUUAUAUACUUAACUGUCCUUGAUGAUGCUAGUCAUAUCACCUAAAAACAGACUUAAUUUUAAAAGUAGUGAAUUUUAUAACUCUCAUUUCUUUAUGUUACAGGGAUCAGCGCUUCAAACAAGAUGGCAUUCUUGCUCAACUCUUUGUUUCCCUUCUAUGAGAUGAAGAACUAGGGAUAUGCUGACCCUGGAAUCACGUCUGCAAAGUGUUUGGAGUUGUUUGGGAACAAGGCUGAAGAAAAUGGAGAAAUAUUAUUAGAUUAUGUUUAUUUUUUCCAGAUUUUUUAAAAAAAAUAUUUUCAAUACCUCUGCUAGUGAAGAUGUAAGAGUGUUGUUGAUGGUUCCACACACCUUUUUGUGGGAAGACUUGUAG